rfam:Gossypium hirsutum cultivar TM-1 chromosome 6, whole genome shotgun sequence
AAAAUAUGGUGUAGACACUUCUAAAUUAUCGUCUUAAAAUGCUCCCAUGCUUCGUGAAAGCUUUCCCCCUCUAAUUAUAUAAACAUCAAAAUUUCCCUUCUUAGUUG